AUACGAAAGGCGCAAGCGUUGUUCGGAUUUACUGGGCGUAAAGAGAUCGUAGGUGGUUUAUUAAGUCGGAUGUGAAAUCCCGGGGCUCAACCCCGGAACUGCAUUCGAUACUGGUAGACUAGAGUUUGGGAGGGGUAAGCGGAAUUCCGUGUGUAGCAGUGAAAUGCGUAGAUAUACGGAGGAACACCUGAGGCGAAGGCGGCUUACUGGACCAAUACUGACACUGAGGAUCGAAAGCGUGGGUAGCAAACAGGAUUAGAAACCCUUGUAGUCC
rnacentral:rRNA from 1 species